GAGGGUAUAGCUCAGUGGUAGAGUGUGUGCUUAGCAUGCACGAGGUCCUGGGUUCAAUCCCCAGAACCUCCA
rnacentral:tRNA from 1 species